CCUACGGGGCGCUGCAGUGGGGAAUAUUGGACAAUGGGCGAAAGCCUGAUCCAGCCAUGCCGCGUGUGUGAAGAAGGCCUUCGGGUUGUAAAGCACUUUCAGUGGGGAAGAAAGCCUUGGGGCUAAUACCCUCGAGGAAGGACAUCACCCACAGAAGAAGCACCGGCUAACUCCGUGCCAGCAGCCGCGGUAAUACGGAGGGUGCGAGCGUUAAUCGGAAUUACUGGGCGUAAAGCGCGCGUAGGCGGUCUGAUAAGCCGGUUGUGAAAGCCCCGGGCUCAACCUGGGAACGGCAUCCGGAACUGUCAGGCUAGAGUGCAGGAGAGGAAGGUAGAAUUCCCGGUGUAGCAGUGAAAUGCGUAGAGAUCGGGAGGAAUACCAGUGGCGAAGGCGGCCUUCUGGACUGACACUGACGCUGAGGUGCGAAAGCGUGGGUAGCAAACAGGAUUAGAUACCCUAGUAGUC
rnacentral:rRNA from 1 species